GAUGAAGAACGCAGCGAAAUGCGAUAAGUAAUGUGAAUUGCAGAAUUCAGUGAAUCAUCGAAUCUUUGAACGCACAUUGCGCCCGCCAGUAUUCUGGCGGGCAUGCCUGUCUGAGUGUCAUUUCAACCCUCAUGCCCCUAGGGCGUGGUGUUGGGGAUCGGCCAAAGCCCGCGAGGGACGGCCGGCCCCUAAAUCUAGUGGCGGACCCGUCGUGGCCUCCUCUGCGAAGUAGUGAUAUUCCGCAUCGGAGAGCGAUGAGCCCCUGCCGUUAAACCCCCAACUUUCCAAGGUUGACCUCAGAUCAGGUAGGAAUACCCGCUGAACUUAAGCAUAUCAAUAAGCGGAGGA
rnacentral:misc_RNA from 1 species